CAAAUCAGGUAGGACUACCCGCUGAACUUA
rnacentral:rRNA from 1 species